GAGGUACUCCCUCCAUCCAAAAAAACUUGUCCCGGACUUGUUCCUCAAAUGAAUGUAUCAAGCACUAACUUAGUGCUAGAUACAUGCAUUUAAGGGACAAGCUUUGUCGGACGGAAGAAGUAGAUA
rfam:Triticum aestivum genome assembly, contig: Triticum_aestivum_CS42_TGACv1_scaffold_424403_5BS